ACAGUGGACUUGCAGCGUCUAGACACGUGCAUUUGUUGAAGGUUUUGAGCUAUCUCCACCGACAGCAGUAAACGAUUGAUGAUGGCUUUUAUUAUACUGUGGCUAUAAAUUGUUAGUGCGUUUGUCGGUAUCAUACAUGUUGAAUAAACCGCAUGCCGCUGACUUCUCACUCUGACCGCCACCUCUAAAUAUCACACACAAUCAAAGGGAGGAAUGCGCGCGCGUACAAACGUGCAACCUGCAGCUAAACAAUGAUUCAAUAACACUGACUGAAAUGUGAAUUAGUGGAGUGUUGACGCUUUUCUAGUGUGGUCAAUUGUCAGUGUUCCGCCGUAACAAGAUUUUUUUUAUUUAUUCGGAUCAAAAUAAUUUUUGUCCAUGGAUAAAUGGCUGAACUUAAAUAAGAAUGGUAAUGAAGCAGAUGAUAAUGCUACAAACUCUUCUCAGGCAGGAAAAAUUAUUGGAAAACAGGCAUCUAAUGUGUGAAAAAGAAAAUAUGAUGAGUCUUUUUUUCAAUUUGGCUUUACAUUUCAAAAUUGUAAGGGUAAUGAAUAACCUCUUUGUUUGAUCUGCAAUGAAUUAUUCGCUUUGGAAACCAUCAAAAUUAAAAAGACAUCUUGAAUCAAAGCAUGUUUCAUAUGUCAAUAAACCAAAAGAAUAUUUUGAGAGACUCUUUAAAUCUUUAAAUAAAGAAAAGAAAAUCUUUGAAAAAUUUAUAACCGUUAAUGAAAAAUAUUUACUAGCAUCAUAUGAAGUUUCAUACUGUAUUGCUAAAAAUAUAGAAUUUCUGAUAUUAACAAGGAUCAAUUAAUACAACAAGAAUUAAAGAAAGCCCAAAAUUUUCAAUUCAGUUGGACGAAACAACUGAUAUUAGUAAAUUGGCUCAGUUGUUAGUAUAUGUCAGGUACGUUUAUAAAGAAAGCGUGGAGGAAGAAUUGUUAUUUUGUCGUCCUAUGGAAGACCAUACUAAGGGAGAGGUAUAUAUUGUAAAGUUGACGAAUUUUCAAAAGCAGAAGGUUUAGAAUGGAAAAAUUGCUGUGGAAUAUGCACAGAUGGUGCAAGAGCGAUGAAGGGCAAAAAUAUUGGUUUUAAAUCAUUUUUUCGAGCUGCUCAUUAUGAUCAUAUAAAUUUUACUCACUGCCUUAUUCACCGAGAGGCUCUUACAAAAAUUAGCAUCAGAAUUGAACGAUGUACUUCAGAAUGCUGUUAUGAUCAUAAAUUUUAUUAAGAGCCAUGCCCUUAACAUCCGCUUAUUUUCAAAUCUCUGUAAGGAUACGGAUUCCAACUACACAACUUUGUUAUUACAUGCAGAAGUAAGAUGGUUGUCAAGAGGUCAAAGUUUAAGAAGAUUAUUGUUAUUAAAGAACGAGAUCGAAAUAUUUUUAACCGAACGAAAAUGUGAACUUGCUGCUUUUUUUCAAAAUGACUUAUGACUAUCCAAGCUGUGUUAUUUGUCAGAUAUUUUUGAGAAGUUUAACGAUCUCAACUUGUCUCAUCAAGGAAAAAAUUGCGAUAUAUUUACUUCAAAUGAUAAAAUUGAAAGUUUUAUUAAAAAGAUCAACAUUUGGAAAAGUGCGCUCGAAAAAAAUUCGUUCGAAAUGUUUUCCAGUGUUGACAAUUUUAUAAUCGAGAAAAUUCAUUGUAAAACUUUUAUCGCAAAAAUUAUUGUAGAUCACUUAAAAGCGCUAGAAAUACAGUUCCGUACAUAUUUUAUAUUAAAUAUUGAUUUCCAAAAAAUAGUUUGCAUUCAAAAGCCGUUUUGGAUUGGUUUAAGUGUGAUUGAUCACCUGCCACUUAAAGCUCAAGAGGAAUUUGCUGAGCUUUCGAGUGACUCAAACUUAAAACUACAAUUUCAAAAAAAGCCCUUGACUGAAUUCUGGAUCGGAACUAGAACUGAAUUUCCCACAAUCGCUGAUAUGGUGUUAAAUGUACUUCUGCCUUUCAAUACCACAUAUUUAGUUUCUCAGCUUUAACACAUAUUAAAUCCCAAUAUCGUUCAGCGCUAAAAAAUGUUGAAGUGGUCUUACGUCCAGCAAUUUCAAACAUUCCACCAAGAUUUGUUUUGUUCUGCAAUAAAAAACAGGCACAUCCAUCUCUAUAAGUUUUUUACUUAUAUUUUAAUUUAAUACUUACCACGCAACUACUUGAAUAUAUUCGAGUGAAUUAAGACGGUCAGAAUCCACUUUUAUAUUUGAAACUAUAAUAAAUACAAUUUUAUAAUA